rnacentral:rRNA from 1 species
GACGAACGCUGGCGGCGUGCUUAACACAUGCAAGUCGAACGGUAAGGCCCUUCGGGGUACACGAGUGGCGAACGGGUGAGUAACACGUGGGUGAUCUGCCCUGCACUUCGGGAUUAGCCUGGGAAACUGGGUCUAAUACCGGAUAGGACCACUGCCUGCAUGGGGGGUGGUGGAAAGCUUUUGCGGUGUGGGAUGGGCCCGCGGGCUAGCAGCUUGUUGGUGGGGUGAUGGCCUACCAAGGCGACGACGGGUAGCCGGCCUGAGAGGGUGACCGGCCACACUGGGACUGAGAUACGGGCCAGACUCCUACGGGAGGCAGCAGUGGGGAAUAUUGCACAAUGGGCGCAAGCCUGAUGCAGCGACGCCGCGUGAGGGAUGACGGCCUUCGGGUUGUAAACCUCUUUCAGCACCGACGAAGCGCAAGUGACGGUAGGUGCAGAAGAAGGACCGGCCAACUACGUGCCAGCAGCCGCCGUAA